UGGGGAAUUUUGGACAAUGGGGGCAACCCUGAUCCAGCAAUGCCGCGUGUGUGAAGAAGGCCUUCGGGUUGUAAAGCACUUUUGUCCGGAAAGAAAUCCCUUGCCCUAAUACGGCGGGGGGAUGACGGUACCGGAAGAAUAAGCACCGGCUAACUACGUGCCAGCAGCCGCGGUAAUACGUAGGGUGCGAGCGUUAAUCGGAAUUACUGGGCGUAAAGCGUGCGCAGGCGGUUUUGUAAGACAGGCGUGAAAUCCCCGAGCUCAACUUGGGAAUGGCGCUUGUGACUGCAAGGCUAGAGUAUGUCAGAGGGGGGUAGAAUUCCACGUGUAGCAGUGAAAUGCGUAGAGAUGUGGAGGAAUACCGAUGGCGAAGGCAGCCCCCUGGGACGUCACUGACGCUCAUGCACGAAAGCGUGGGGAGCAAACAGGAUUAGAUACCCUGGUAGUCCACGCCCUAAACGAUGUCGACUAGUUGUUGGGGAUUCAUUUCUUCAGUAACGUAGCUAACGCGUGAAGUUGACCGCCUGGGGAGUACGGUCGCAAGAUUA
rnacentral:rRNA from 1 species